UACGUAGGGAGCGAGCGUUGUCCGGAAUCAUUGGGCGUAAAGAGCUCGUAGGCGGCUUGGUAAGUCGGAUGUGAAACCUCCAGGCUCAACCUGGAGUCGCCAUCCGAUACUGCCAUAGCUAGAGUCCGGUAGGGGCCCACGGAACUCCUGGUGUAGCGGUGAAAUGCGCAGAUAUCAGGAAGAACACCGGUGGCGAAGGCGGUGGGCUGGGCCGGCACUGACGCUGGAGGAGCGAAAGCGUGGGGAGCGAACAGG
rnacentral:rRNA from 1 species